CCUACGGGAGACAGCAGUGAGGAAUAUUGGUCAAUGGACGAGAGUCUGAACCAGCCAAGUAGCGUGAAGGAUGACUGCCCUAUGGGUUGUAAACUUCUUUUAUAUGGGAAUAAAACGUUCCACGUGUGGGAUUUUGUAUGUACCAUAUGAAUAAGGAUCGGCUAACUCCGUGCCAGCAGCCGCGGUAAUACGGAGGAUCCGAGCGUUAUCCGGAUUUAUUGGGUUUAAAGGGAGCGUAGGUGGAUUGUUAAGUCAGUUGUGAAAGUGUGCGGCUCAACCGUAAAAUUGCAGUUGAAACUGGCAGUCUUGAGUACAGUAGAGGUGGGCGGAAUUCGUGGUGUAGCGGUGAAAUGCUUAGAUAUCACGAAGAACUCCGAUUGCGAAGGCAGUUCACUGGACUGCAACUGACACUGAGGCUCGAAAGUGUGGGUAUCAAACAGGAUUAGAUACCCCAGUAGUC
rnacentral:rRNA from 1 species